ACGGAGGGUGCGAGUGUUAUUCGGAAUUACUGGGCGUAAAGAGAACGUAGGCGGAUAUGCAAGUCAGAUGUGAAAGCCCCGGGCUUAACCUGGGAACUGCAUUUGAUACUGCGUGUCUUGAGUGUGGUAGAGGUGGAUGGAAUUCCCGGUGUAGAGGUGAAAGUCGUAGAUAUCGGGAGGAACUCCAGAGGCGAAGGCGAUCCACUGGGCCAUAACUGACGCUGAGGUUCGAAAGCGUGGGUAGCAAACAG
rnacentral:rRNA from 1 species